GAUCCUGGCUCAGGACGAACGCUGGCGGCGUGCUUAACACAUGCAAGUCGAACGAGAAUCUACUGAAGGAGUUUUCGGACAACGGAAGCAGAGGAAAGUGGCGGACGGGUGAGUAACGCGUGAGGAACCUGCCUUGAAGAGGGGGACAACAGUUGGAAACGACUGCUAAUACCGCAUGACGCAUAGAGGUCGCAUGAUCUUUAUGCCAAAGAUUUAUCGCUUCAAGAUGGCCUCGCGU
rnacentral:rRNA from 1 species